rnacentral:rRNA from 1 species
CAAUAAGCGGAGGAAAAGAAACCAACAGGGAUUGCCCCAGUAACGGCGAGUGAAGCGGCAACAGCUCAAAUUUGAAAUCUGGCCCCAGGCCCGAGUUGUAAUUUGCAGAGGAUGCUUUUGGCGCGGUGCCUUCCGAGUUCCCUGGAACGGGACGCCAUAGAGGGUGAGAGCCCCGUACGGUUGGACACCAAGUCUUUGUAAAGCUCCUUCGACGAGUCGAGUAGUUUGGGAAUGCUGCUCAAAAUGGGAGGUAUAUUUCUUCUAAAGCUAAAUAUUGGCCAGAGACCGAUAGCGCACAAGUAGAGUGAUCGAAAGAUGAAAAGCACUUUGAAAAGAGGGUUAAACAGCACGUGAAAUUGUUAAAAGGGAAGCGCUUAUGACCAGACUUGCGCCCGGUGAAUCACCCAGCUCUCGCGGCUGGGGCACUUUGCCGGCUCAGGCCAGCAUCAGCUCGCUGUCGGGGACAAAAGCUUCGGGAACGUAGCUCUCUUCGGGGAGUGUUAUAGCCUGUUGCACAAUACCCUUCGGCGGGCUGAGG